rnacentral:rRNA from 1 species
GAUGAACGCUGGCUGUGUGCCUAAUACAUGCAUGUCGAACGAAGCACUUGUGCUUAGUGGCGAAUGGGUGAGUAACACGUACUUAAUCUACCUUUUAGUUUGGGACAACAGUUGGAAACGACUGCUAAUACCGGAUAUGGGAAAGAAUCGCAUGGUUUUUCCUGAAAGGGGCGUUUGCCUCGCUAAUAGAUGAGAGUGCGCUACAUUAGGUAGUUGGUAGGGUAAUGGCCUACCAAGUCUACGAUCUAUAGCUGGUUUUAGAGGAUGAUCAGCAACACUGGGACUGAGACACGGCCCAG